CCGGGGAGACACGCGUUUCCGGUUCUCCCCACCCCCACCUCCGACAAGUGCUAUGAGAGCACCCAGGGGCGCGGAGCUUGGCGGGAUCCUGAGAGCCGCGCCGAGCGGGGAUGUUGCGAGGCGGCAGGUCGGGCUUCCCACGUGGGACCCCAGGAUGUUCGGGCAAGCAAAUCAGUUUGAUCAACGUUGGGGAAACAGCGAAGUGCAGAGCAGCGGGUUUAAAGGUGGUCAGUUAACGGGUGUAGGAGAAAGAAGACGUGGUCAUCCGUUCGUCUCCAUCAAAGUGGGGUCCGACGCAGAGUAAUCACCACAUAGUGGCAAUCAAGUGGAAAAAGUCAAAAAGACCCUCUCAACUAAAGCGCAAACCGAGAGUCGGAACGUGGCGCCGGGGUCUGGAUUUGGAAAAUGGAUCGGGUGGAUGCGAAGGGUGAGCCGGCCUCGGGAGCGCGGAGUCUGGGGCGCGCCGCCGGCCCCAGACCCUGACCCGGGGUUGCUGAAGACUCCAAGCUUGAGUCUUCCCCCUCUGGGAAGCAGAUGGCCAGCGCACCUUCCCUGGAGGCACCCAGGCUUGACGUGAAAGGUGCCGACGGCGUGGCGGCCAGGAGCAGCUCCCUGCAGAGCGCGCAGCCGGGGUCGGCUCCCAGAGUGUGACCGCGCGGGGGCGACAUCCUCCUCUCGGGGACGGUUUCCUUUUGUUUUCCAGACUCUAACCCCAGCCCCUUCACUCCACCCCGCCUCCGCAGUCACCUGGUGAUUCGCGGCAAGUUAAAAGAACUGGAGAGCUGUUGAAUUCCCCAUUCCCGGUCCCCGCCGCGGGAGCGUCUCCUUUGAUCUGAGGCGGGGCCGGGGCAUUGAUAACCUUAAGAGCUGCGCUGGGGAUUCUCAUGGCAGCCGGAGUUGAGAACCGCAGGCCCCAACCACUCCCUCUCCUCAGGCUGGGCCUCUCUCUCCAGAUUUCUUCAGCCUUCCAACUUCCAGUCCUUGACUGGGACUGGAAAGGUGAACUUUGUAAACAAAGUGAACUUUGAAGACCACCAGUGAGAGUGUUCCACUGCUCUCUCUUCUCUCCCUUUCCUUUUUUUUUUCAUCGCCUCCCUCUUAACCUCUUUGCUUUCUGUCUUACCUACCCUACUUCUCUGUGCUUCCUCUGCCUCUCUUAACUUCCCUUUUACCUUUUCCUUUUUUAAAAACUCCUUCCCUUUAUUUUGCUGUUUCCCUCUCUUGGCCCCUUUCCUUUGGGGAGCCAGCAUUGGGCGGGAAAAGCACGGGCUUUGGAGCCAGAGAGGUCCGGAAAAUUCAAUUCGCCACAGACACUUAAAAUUGUGUGACCUUGGAUAAUAUAAAGCUCCUUAGAUCCCAACUGUCCUCCUUAAAACCUGGUCCCUCUCCUCCAUUCCUUUUCCCUGUUCCCCAUCUUUUCUCCUGCAAUCAUUCACAUGACUAAAAAGCUAGCAAAAAAAAAAAACACAACUUCCCAACCUCUCCAGGUGUCUACUAUGAAUAUUUGAAAAUAAUAAUUAAUCCUUGGGAAAAAAGUGUGUAUGUUGUAGAUCAUACUGUUAAAUAUUCAGUCUGCCUUCUAGAGGGCCUAUCCCUGGAACCCCUUCCAAGAGAGAAAUGCCUCCCCACCCUAUUGAGUUCAGGCAUGGUUGUGGACUUGCUUUGGCCAAUGGAAUGUGGGUGGCGAUGACAUUUGCCACCCCUGAACAGGAGCAUCAGGUGCCUUUCACCCCCGUGCCAUUGUUUGUUUUCCAUCUGCUCUAGAACUGUAUGUCCCAGAUGGGAGUGGGCCAUGGGGUCCUUAACCCUGAGUCCCCAGUUGAAGCAGAGCCACAGCUGGCCUGUGAAAUACAUGAAACAGGAGUAAGGAACAAACCUCUGUUGAGGUAACCCUUUGAGAUUUGGGGGUGUUACUAAAGUAUAUCUUAAAGAAGCCAACACAACACAGGUGUGAAAGAGAUGUGAAAUUUCAAAAAUUAGCUUGAAUGUUUUAGUAUGUAUAGCUUAGUUUUGCUUUUCUGUGAAAUAGAUCCUUUUUCAGAGCCCUCCCCAGCUCAGCAUGGCCCCCUUAAUCGCCCUACACCUGUCAGCAUCAACCUAAGACUGCCUAACACCAUUUCAUCAAACAGUGAUUCUAAGAAUUGAAGACAGUACUUCUAGCAGUCUUGCUAGGGAUGUGCGGAAAAGUAGAUUUACUUUCUCCCUUAUUUAAAAGCAGUUCCAAAGUGCAGUGUAAUUGUAAUGUAACAAUUAAUAAAAUAUGUGCUUUUUCCUUCUGGAAAGAUAGACUGGGCUCUUUUUCCCUCGUGCUGUCCCAGACCCAUACAACUAAAAAGGAAACAUCUCCUCUUAGCUCAGUGAGUUCCCCAUGCACCUUUGGAUUCCUGGACAAUUUCAUAACCACUCAACCCCUUGUUGAAUUUAGGGUAAGGGUAAAAUACAAAUAAGUCCACCCAGAAGUGUUUGGUUGAUAGCUUUUUAUUUUUAUCUGCAUGACUAAAAUUGCCUUUCCCCAAUCAUAUGACACCUCUCCAGAAAAGAACGGUAGAAGGGCACUUACUCUUUUGUACCUCCGGUUUCCUAGAACUAGUCCAUGUACGAGGUUGCAGUAGAAGCAGCCACCUUGGUACAAUGGGAUCCCUCCCCCAUCCUCCCCUUGGCCCAAGGUGGAUACUCAACUCAGGCUGGGUAAAUAAUUCUCUCUGCUGAGCAAGAAUUUGGAGUGGUUGUUGGACCUCUGUUGCUGUUGCCUGUCCAGCACCCAUUUUCCAUUUUGCUGGUAGCAGUUCCCUUCUGCUAAUAGUCAAGAGCCCUGCCUCUGGGGCCUGACAGUCUGGGUUCAAAGCCAGCUCUGUAAUUUGCUAGCAGUGUGGCCUUAGGCAAGAUGCUUUAACUCAUAUCUCAAUUUCCCCAUUAUAAAGUGAGAAUAAUGUGCUGGUUAAAUUAAUAAACAAAGAAGAUAAUAAUCUGAGAUUAAAAUAAAUUGGCCUAUCAAAAGUACUUAGAAGCGUGUCCGACAGUACACUUCUUGGAGGAUUUAUGUAGUGUUUGCUGUGGCUGUCAUGUAUUUGGGAUGGGGCUAACUUCAACCCCAGCUCCAGGUUUGGGCACGUGUUCCAGGCUUGGCCAAUGGGCAUAUUGCACUCCAUCAGGCCAUGGGUGGGUCAGAGGCGGGCAGUGACCAAAGCUGGGCUUAACCAGACCCCAUCCUGAAACUUGCUGGGACUCUCAGAGAACCAGCCCAUUGAGGAAGGAGAGAAGUCUGGAGGUCCUGUUUGGUUAUCUGGUCCCAAGAGGGCAGAACCAGCAGGAAAUGAAACCAGUGCAGGUGAGGAUAAAGGGAGAGGUGCUUCCUCAUGAGCCCUUGCAUCCAGCUGGCCUGCAAUUUUCAGUUAUUUGAACCACUAAAUCCCCUUAUUAGCUGAAGCCAGUUUGAGCUUCUUUUUUUGUCCUCUGCAGAAGAAAACAAAAUCUAAUACAUUGAGUCUGGGCCAGGCCCUUGAACAAAGGAGAUAAAAAGUCGUGCCUGGGGGGCCAUCCCCAGUGUGUCAUGCAGAUGGAGAAGCCAAUCAGCACACAGAGAAAAUACCAGGCUUUCCAGCGGCUCUCCGGGGCCUUGUCCUGGGCUGUACCUGGGCUUUUGGGUCCUAUGCCAGUGUAACCUAAUAAUAAAUGUCCCUUUCUUGAUUAAGCUGGCUUGAGUAAGUGCCUGACACAUGCAACUAGAAUCCAAAAGAAAACUUAAAAUGGUUAUUGUUGUUGUUUGUUUUUAGGAAGUAACAUAAGGAGGACACAAAAUAUCUAUUAGUUCCUUAUAGAUUAUUUGGUGGUAGCUGACUGAUCAUCAGAUUUGCCAAACAACCUAUACCCUAAAAAGUAUAGGUGAAGAUAUCAAUAUCUUCACCACCCUUGCUGUCAGCAAAUGACCUGAGUUAUGAGUUUGCAUAAAUCUGAAUAAAUGUUUGCUAAAUAGAA